rnacentral:rRNA from 1 species
AUUCCCUACGGGGGGCAGCAGUGAGGAAUAUUGGUCAAUGGGCGAGAGCCUGAACCAGCCAAGUCGCGUGAAGGAUGACGACCCUACGGGUUGUGAACUUCUUUUGUCAGGGAGCAAUUGGGUCCACGCGUGGGCUUAGCGAGAGUACCUGAAGAAAAAGCAUCGGCUAACUCCGUGCCAGCAGCCGCGGUAAUACGGAGGAUGCGAGCGUUAUCCGGAUUUAUUGGGUUUAAAGGGGGCGUAGGCGGAAUAUCA